GCUCGAAAAUGUUAAAGUUCUUAUUUCAUGGUAUAACUUUGGUAUGCUUGGACCUAGAGUCUUCAAACUUGACAUGAAGGUUGGCCAGGAUUAACAGAUGACCACUGGUCAUUUCAAGGUCAUUCAUUUGAAGGUCAAGGUCACUGUGACCUUCAAUAUAAAAAAUGUUAAAGUUCUUAUAACUUUGGUAUGCUUGGACCUAGAGUCUUGAAACUUGACAUGAAGGUUGGCCAUAACUAGUUAGUAACCACUGGUCAUUUCAAGGUCAUUCAUUUGAAGGUCAAGGUCACUGUGACCUUGAAUGUAAAAAUGUUAAAGUUCUUAUUUGAUGGUAUAACUUUGGUAUGCUUGGACCUAGAGUCUUCAAACUUGACAUGAAGGUUGGCCAGGAUUAACAGAUGACCACUGGUCAUUUCAAGGUCAUUCAUUUGAAGGUGAAGGUCACUGUGACCUUCAAUAUAAAAAUGUUAAAGUUGUUAUAACUUUGGUAUGCUUGGACCUAGAGUCUUGAAACUUGACAUGAAGGUUGGCCAGAACUAGUAAGUAACCACUGGACAUUUCAAGGUCAUUCAUUUGAAGGUCAAGGUCACUGUGACCUUGAAUGUAAAAAUGUUAAAGUUGUUAUAACUUUGGUAUGCUUGGACCUAGAGUCUUGAAACUUGACAUGAAGGUUGGCCAGAACUAGUAAGUAACCACUGGACAUUUCAAGGUCAUUCAUUUUAAGGUCAAGGUCACUGUGACCUUGAAUGUAAAAAUGUUAAAGUUGUUAUAACUUUGGUAUGCUUGGACCUAGAGUCUUGAAACUUGACAUGAAGGUUGGCCAGAACUAGUAAGUAACCACUGGACAUUUCAAGGUCAUUCAUUUGAAGGUCAAGGUCACUGUGACCUUGAAUGUAAAAAUGUUAAAGUUCUUAUUUCAUGUUAUAACUUUGGUAUGCUUGUACCUAGAGUCUUCAAACUUGAAAUAAAGAUUGGCCAGUACUAGAAGAUGACCACUGGUCAUUUCAAUGUCAUUCAUUUGAAGGUCAAGGUCACUGUGACCUUCAAUGUUAAAAUGUUAAAAUUGUUAUAACUUUGGUAUGCUUGGACCUAGAAUCUCAAACUUGACGUACAGGUUUGCAAGCACACUUAGAUGACCACUGGUCAUUUCAAGGUCAUUCAUUUCAAUGUCAUUCAUUUGAAGGUCAAGGUCACUGUGAACUUAAAUGUUAAAAUGUUAAAAUUGUUGUAACUUUGGUAUGCUUGGACCUAGAAUCUCAAACUUUGCUCAUGCCUUGAAAAGUACUUACAUUUCAUUUUGACCUUUGAACAAUAUUUCAGUAAUUUAAGUAUUGCAUUGACAAAAACACGAAAGGUACUUUCCUGUCAUUUAAAUCAAAAAUCCGGCUUCAAUGCGGUCAUCUCCGACCGCGGAACUCUUGUUUUUAAUCUUGUCUUUAAAGGUAAUGCAAAAAUCUAUAUCUGGAAUCAAGUUUGUGAUUUUAAAUAAAAUUGGUCUUGAAAUAUUACAAGCGAACUCAGUAGGAAGUAUGAAUUUGGGUAGAUGCUCAAUUUGUAUGCCCCCCUUCGAAAAAGAGGUGGUAUAUUGCUUUGCACAUGUCGGUCAGUCCGUCCACCAGGUGGUUUCCGGAUGAUUACUCAAGAACGCUUGGGCCUAGGAUCAUGAAACUUCAUAGGUACAUUGAUCAUGACUCGCAGAUGACCCCUAUUGAUUUUGAGGUCACUAGGUCAAAGGUCAAGGUCAUGGUGACCUGAAAUAGUAAAAUGGUGUUCAGGUUUUUUUUUGGCCCAAUUUUAUAGCCGAAAUUCGGCUAUGUUCCCAAUCCCAAAAAGUAUACUUUUUUCCCAAAAUGUGGCAAAAAAUUCCCAAUUUCAAAAAAAAAAAAUUUUUUUUUUUUUUUUUUUUUAGAAAGAAGUCUUAUGUGUAUUUUAUCUCAAUUUUAAUUCAAUUACAUCUGACAAAGUAUUAUAUGAUUUUGUUCUUUUAAUUUGAAUGAAUAUAAAAAGUUAUAUCAAAUUUAGUAUUUCCCUAAUCAGUGGACUUUUCGUGUGGAAAAAAGGCUAAUUAAUUUAUUUUCCCAAUUUCAUGAAAAUGCCGAUAAAAUUCCCAAUUCCAAAGCCAUGGGCUAUCUUCCCAAAAAGUGGAAAAAAAACCUAGUGUGUGGAUGAUAACUUAAGAACUGCACGCAUAUGCUGCCAACAGGGCGAACUCUGAACAAUAUAACUGAAGCAACUGGUCUGUAAUCUGAAAUCUAUAAUUAUCAGUCCAAUUAAACAUCAUCAUUUCAGUAAAAUAAAGUGGAUCAGUAAAAAUAUUAUCAGAAUAUGAGAUUUUUUUGUAUAUUUAUAUCUAUAAUCAAUAGCAGGAAAUGACGUCAAUAUUUGGACGAAAUGACGUCAUAAAUCCAGCGAAAUUAUCCAGUCAAACUAAUUUUGUUUAGACAAAAAGGUUUACAAAAUAAAAAGUGGGAUAAAUAGAAUAAGGCUCGUGCUUUUUGUUUUCUAAGCCUCGCAUGAUAAACCUGAUCUAUAAUCAACACUAACCUAUUAUUCUCUAUAUUCAACUAUUAUUUUAAAGGUUAUAUCAGUAACUAAAUUCUGAAGUAAACUUUGUGAUUUUUAGCGUAAAUAGUUUUGGGGAUAUUAUUUAGCGAAUCUUUGAAAGACUUAUUUCUGAGUUACACAAUACAUUUGUAUAAUUGAACAUCAGAUGUCUGCCUUUGUGUAAAUUUUUUGUAUAAAAACUUAUUAUGGAGAUGCACAUUAAAUUUGUAAUAAGAUUCAAUAAGAUUUUAUAAGAUUCAGACUAUAUUCAUGAAUUGUACAUACCUUUACAUAUCUUUUUUUCGUAACAUUUUGUUAUGAAUAUCUGUUUGUUUUUUUUAAAUCUCGUCUUUAAAGGUAAUGCAAAAAUCUAUAUCUGGAAUCAAGUUUGUGAUUUUAACUAAAACUGGUCUGGAAAUAUUACAAGCGAACUCAGUACGAAGUAUGAAUUUGGGUAGAUGCUCAAUUUGUAUGCCCCCCUUCAAAGAAGAGGGGGUAUAUUGCUUUGCACAUGUCGGUCUGUCGGUCAGUCCGUCCACCAGGUGGUUUCUGGAUGAUAACUCAAGAACGCUUGGGCCUAGGAUCAUGAAACUUCAUAGGUACAUUGAUCAUGACUCGCAGAUGCCCCUAUUGAUUUUGAGGUCACUAGGUCAAAGGUCAAGGUCACGGUGACCCGAAAUAGUAAAAUGGUGUCAGGGUUUUUUUUGGCCCAAUUUUAUAGCCGAAAUUCGGCUAUGUUCCCAAUCCCAAAAAAAGUAUACUUUUUUCCCAAAAUGUGGCAAAAAAUUCCCAAUUUCAAAAAAAAUUAUUAUUUUUUAUUUUUAUUUUUUUUUUAGAAAGAAGUCUAAUGUGUAUUUUAUCUCAAUUUUAAUUCAAUUACAUCUGACAAAGUAUUAUAUGAUUUUGUUCUUUUAAUUUGAAUGAUUAUAAAAAGUUAUAUCAAAUUUAGUAUUUCCCUAAUCAGUGGACUUUUCGUGUGGAAAAAAAGGCUAAUUAAUUUAUUUUCCCAAUUUCAUGAAAAUGCCGAUAAAAUUCCCAAUUCCAAAGUCAUGGGCUAUCUUCCCAAAAAGUGGAAAAAAAACCCUGAGUGUUUGGAUAAUUACUUAAGAACUGCACGCAUAUGCUGCCAACAGGGCGAACUCUGAACAAUAUAACUGAAGCAACUGGUCUGUAAUCUGAAAUCUAUAAUUAUCAGAUCAAUGAAACAUCAUCAUUUGAGUAAAAUAAAGUGGAUCAGUAAAAAUAUUAUCAGAAUAUGAGAUUUUUUUGUAUAUUUUGUAUAUUAAAUAUUGUGUUAA